AAGUCGUAACAAGGUUUCCGUAGGUGAACCUGCGGAAGGAUCAUUACCGAAUCCAAAUCCCAACCCCAUGUGAACUGUUGUUUGUCUGUCUUUGGGGGCUGGCCGCCUGGGCCCAACAAGCCCAUUCUGGUUGCCCCCAAAUGAACCCGGCACUCCGGUGCUCUGGGUUCAACAGCUAAACCACUUUUAAACUUUGUUGGAACUUCUUUUAUUAAUUCUAAUAAAAGACAACUUUUAACGGUGGAUCUCUUGGCUCGUG
rnacentral:misc_RNA from 1 species